AAAGUAGCCAGGCAUAAGUGAGGCAUGCCUGUAAUACCAGCUACUCAGGAGGCUGAGGCAGGAGAAUGACUUGAGCCCAAGAGGUGGAGGUUGCCGAGAGCUGAGAUGAUGCCACUGCACUUCAGCCUGGGUGACAGAGCAAGACUCUGUAUAUAUAUAUUUAAAAAGUGGAUGCACUAUAUUUGGGUUUCUAUCCUGUAGUUUUAUAAAAUGGAUCAAGGUUUUAAAAUGUCUGAAUAAAAUUUGCCCUGGACAGCUGCCCAACCUUGACCUGCUCAAUCUCUUCCAGACCUUCUGCCAGAAAGGGGGCCUGUUGUGCACGCUUCAGGGUAAGCUGCAGCCCUAGGACUGGAUGUCGUUGGCCAGACUGCUGCAGGGCCUGCAGACACUACUGCUCAUGGCUCUGUGGCAGGCCUCCCGCCGCCCCCACCACUCCUAUGGCCUCUUCUUGUGCUACCGUGUGGAGGCCCUAACCCUGUGUGGCAUCAAUAGCUUCCGCCAGUAUAAGUAUGACCUGGUGGCAGUGGGCAAGGCUUUGGAGGGCAUGUUCUGCAAGCUCAAUCACCUCCUGCAGCACCUGCACCAGCUGUUCUUCCUCUACCUGCUCCCCACCCUUUCUCGCUUCAUCUCCAUCGGCCUCUACUUGCCUGCCACCGACUUCUUGCUCCUGGUCCUUGGUUUCAAGGCUCUGAAACUGUGGAUGCAGCUGCCUGAGGCUGGAGCAGGUCUUGAGGAGCCCGAGGGGGGUCCCUGGCCCCAGUGUCCCGCCUCCCCCAGCACAGAGUGCUAAGCCCUUAGGUCCCAGACAGGGGCUGGAUGGUGCUCAAGCUGGUAGCCCUGAUCUGCCUAGCACUGCAGCUGGGCUGCAUCAUCCUCACCAGUUUCUCACUGGACUUCUUGCUGGCUGCCACUAUGGUGCCUGCCGCUGCGCUCACCGAGCCUCAUGGGCCCUGGACCCUCUACACUGCCCUGCUGGCGCUGACAAGCCCGGCGGCCACGCUCCCUGGCAACCCAUUCCUGUGGCAGGAGCUGCAGGAGGCACCACUGUCACUGGCCGAAGGCUGGCAGCUCUUCCUUGCAGUACUGGCCCAGGGUGUGCUGGAGCACCACACCUAAGGCGCCCUGCUCUUCCCACUGCCGUCCCUGGGCCUCUACCCUUGCUGGCUGCUUUCCUGGCAUGUGCUCUUCUGGAAGUGAGAUCUGCCUGUCCAAGGCACCAGGCUGGGACAGAGACUCCCCAAGAACCCCAUUCUGCCUCCUUCCGGGGAAAUAAACAAGUGCCUGUUUCAG